rnacentral:rRNA from 1 species
GAUGAACGCUGGCGGCGUGCUUAACACAUGCAAGUCGAACGGUGAAGCUCCAGCUUGCUGGAGUGGAUCAGUGGCGAACGGGUGAGUAACACGUGAGCAACCUGCCCCUGACUCUGGGAUAACAGCCGGAAACGGCUGCUAAUACCGGAUAUGCACCAUGAACGCAUGUUCUGUGGUGGGAAAGAUUUUUCGGUUGGGGAUGGGCUCGCGGCCUAUCAGCUUGUUGGUGAGGUAAUGGCUCACCAAGGCGUCGACGGGUAGCCGGCCUGGGAGGGUGACCGGCCACACUGGGACUGAGACACGGCCCAGACUCCUACGGGAGGCAGCAGUGGGGAAUAUUGCACAAUGGGCGAAAGCCUGAUGCAGCAACGCCGCGUGAGGGAUGACGGCCUUCGGGUUGUAAACCUCUUUUAGCAGGGAAGAAGCGAGAGUGACGGUACCUGCAGAAAAAGCGCCGGCUAACUACGUG